GCUCACAGUGAACGCUGGCGGCGUGGCUAAGGCAUGCAAGUCGCACGGGUGUAGCAAUACACCAGUGGCGCAAGGGUGAGUAAUGGAUAGCUAACGUACCUUCAACUGGGGCAUAGCCAGUCGAAAGACUGGGUAAUUCCCCAUAAAGUCGCGAUGGGACAUCCUGCUGCGACCAAAGGUGAGGACCGCAAGGCUUACCGGUUUUAGCGCGGGCUAUCUGCUAUCAGCUUGUUGGCGAGGUAAUGGCUCACCAAGGCUAUGACGGCUAGCUGGUCUGAGAGGACGACCAGCCACAUUGGCACUGAGACACUGGCCAGACUCCUACGGGGGGCUGCAGCAACGAAUCUUCCCCAAUGGGCGAAAGCCUGAGGGAGCGACGCCGCGUGAAGGAUGAAGUACUUCGGUAUGUAAACUUCUUUAGGGGUUACGAAAGCGAUGCGCGCUAAUACCGCGCAAAGUUGAUCUAGCCCAAAAUAAGGGACGGCUAACUCUGUGCCAGCAGCCGCGGUAAUACAGAGGUCCCAAGCGUUACUGAGAAUCACUGGGUUUAAAGGGUGCGUAGGUGGUCCGUUAAGUUCGUUGUGAAAUCCCUGGGCUCAACCCAGGAACUGCUUCGAAUACUGGCGGACUUGAGGCCGGUAGAGGUCACUGGAACUGACGGUGGAGCGGUGAAAUGCGUAGAUAUCGACAGGAACGCCGGUGGUGAAGACGGGUGACUGGGCCGGUUCUGACACUGAGGCACGAAAGCGUGGGGAGCGAACGGGAUUAGAUACCCCGGUAGUCCACGCCCUAAACGAUGCAGACUAGAUUGCAGCGGGUCUUACCCCGUUGCGGUCGGAAAAAAAUCGUUAAGUCUGCCACCUGGGAAGUACGG
rnacentral:rRNA from 1 species